UCUAUCUCUAUAUAGGGACGGCUCACCUGCUCUGCUCACGGGCAAAGUCAUCCAACUGGAAGAGAUCCUCAGACAGCUUCAGUUCGACCUACGAAAGGAGCAAGAGGACAAGGCCAUGUUGCAGGAGCA